GGUGAACGCUGGCGGCGUGCCUAAUACAUGCAAGUCGAGCGGACACACGGGAAGCUCUCGCUCUUAAGGUUAGCGGCUGACGGGUGGGUGAGACGUGCAUCGCCUUCCACUUAUACGGGGGUGAUUUCGUGGAGACGGAGCUGCUAACGCCUAAUAUGACCAACGGCUUGGAUCAGUGGUGCAUCAGGGUUUUGCUGUCACUUAUAGCUGGAGUGGUGUCGGAUUAGCUAGUUGGUAAGGUAACGGCUCACCAAGGCGACGAUGCGUAGCCGAUCUGAGAGGAUGAUCAGCCACACUGGAACUGAGACACGGUCCAGACUCCUACGGGAGGCAGCAGUGGGGAAUAUUGGACAAAGGGCGAAAGCCUGAUGCAGCAAUACCGCGUGGGUGAAGAAGGUCUUCGGGUUGUAAAGCCCUGUUGUUGGGAAAGAAAAACAGCAGGUUAAUAUACCGCUGUUCUGACGGUACCCAAAGAAUAAGCACCGGCUAACUUCGUG
rnacentral:rRNA from 1 species